GCCAGUAUGAUGUAGUGGUUUGAUUGUGGAUUACAACUCUGCAGACCAGGGUUCAAUUCCCCCUUUGGCCA